GAGGGUGUAGCUUAGUGGUAGAGUGCAUGCUUAGCAUGCAUGAGGUCCUGGGUUCAAUCCUCGAAACCUCC
rnacentral:tRNA from 1 species